rnacentral:rRNA from 1 species
GGACAAUCUGCCCUGAAGUGGAGGAUAAUCCCGGGAAACUGGGGGUAAUACUCCAUAGUUCGUGCUGACUGGAAUGUUAUGCGAACGAAAGAUCCGUCGCUUCAGGAUGAGUCUGCGGCCGAUUAGGUAGUUGUUGGGGUAACGGCCCAACAAGCCUGUCAUCGGUACGGGUUGUGGGAGCAAGAGCCCGGAGAUGGAUUCUGAGACACGAAUCCAGGCCCUACGGGGCGCAGCAGGCGCGAAAACUUUACCAUGCGGGCAACCGUGAUAAGGAAACCCCGAGUGCCAGCACAGGCUGGCUGUCCGCCAGUGUAAAUAACUGGUGAAGAAAGGGCCGGGCAAGACCGGUGCCAGCCGCCGCGGUAAUACCGGCGGCUCGAGUGGUGGCCACUAUUACUGGGCUUAAAGGGUCCGUAGCUUGAUAUGCAAGUCUCUUGAGAAAUCCGCCAGCUUAACUGGUGGGCGUUCAGGGGAAACUGCAUUUCUAGGGACCGGGAGAGGUGAGAGGUACUGCCGGGGUAGGAGCGAAAUCCUGUAAUCCCGGUGGGACCACCUAUGGCGGAGGCAUCUCACCAGAACGGGUCCGACAGUGAGGGACGAAAGCUGGGGGAGCAAACCGGAUUAGAUACCCGGGUAGUCCCAGCUGUAAACGAUGCGCGUUAGGUGUGUCAGUGACCACGUGUCACUGAGGUGCCGAAGGGAAACCGUGAAACGCGCCGCCUGGGGAGUACGGUCGCAAGGCUGAAACUUAA